rnacentral:rRNA from 1 species
CCUACGGGAGGCAGCAGUAGGGAAUAUUGCUCAAUGGGGGAAACCCUGAAGCAGCAACGCCGCGUGGAGGAUGAAGGUUUUCGGAUUGUAAACUCCUUUUGUUAGAGAAGAUAAUGACGGUAUCUAACGAAUAAGCACCGGCUAACGCCGUACCAGCAGCCGCGGUAAUACGGAGGGUGCAAGCGUUACUCGGAAUCACUGGGCGUAAAGGGCGCGUAGGCGGGAUAGCAAGUCAGAUGUGAAAUCCUAUGGCUUAACCAUAGAACUGCAUUUGAAACUGUUAUUCUAGAGUAUGGGAGAGGUAGGUGGAAUGCUUGGUGUAGCGGUAAAAUCCGUAGAGAUCAAGAGGAAUACUCAUUGCGAAGGCGACCUGCUAGACCAUAACUGACGCUGAUGCGCGAAAGCGUGGGGAGCAAACAGGAUUAGAUACCCGAGUAGUC